AUUAUGGAGGUGACGGUUAUGUAAUUGAACACGAACUCGGUCACAGUCUUUACUUCUUCAAUGAUUUCUUCUUUUCAACAAAUGGAUCUUCAAAAGCUGACAACGACACUAAGCUUCUAGAUGAAAAUAUAGAAUGUUUGAUCAAAAGAUAUUCUAACUAUUCUAUAUCUUCAGGAAAUAUAACUUUGAAAGUAGACCCUUAUAAAACAUUGAAGGAGAAUUUUGCUGAUGUUAUCGGUAUUCAAGCAAGUUAUGCAGCAUUCCAAGCUCAUAAAGAGAAUCACAUUGCAUCAAGAAUAAGAUUACCAGGUCUUGAACAUCUUAACAGUGAUCAGCUUUUCUUCCUUGCUUAUGCUUCUAAUGAAUGUGUAUCUAAAGAUGUUAAGCGAUUAGCUUUUAAUUUGAAAGAUGUUCAUACUCCAUCAAGAUUUAGAGUAGAUGGUACUCUUUCAAGCAGCAGCAUUUUUGCAGAGGC